ACGAACGCUGGCGGCGCGCUUAACACAUGCAAGUCGAACGGAAGGGCCUGCUUUCCCUUGUGGAUUGCGGGUACUCGAGUGGCGAACGGGUGAGUAACACGUGAGUGAUCUGCCCCCAACUUGGGUAUAAGCCUGGGAAACUGGGUCUAAUUCCCGAUAGGACUGCAGGGUGGUGCCUGUGGUGGAAAACGAUUUUCUAGUGGUUGGGGAUGAGCUCGCGGCCUAUCAGCUUGUUGGUGGGGUAAUGGCCUACCAAGGCGGCGACGGGUAGCCGGCCUGAGAGGGUGGACGGCCACAUUGGGACUGAGAUACGGCCCAGACUCCUACGGGAGGCAGCAGUGGGGAAUAUUGCACAAUGGGCGGAAGCCUGAUGCAGCGACGCCGCGUGGGGGAUGACGGCCUUCGGGUUGUAAACUCCUUUCGACCGCGAGGAAGCCACCUGGUUGGAAGGGUGGUGACGGUAGUGGUAGAAGAAGCACCGGCUAACUACGUG
rnacentral:rRNA from 1 species